rnacentral:piRNA from 1 species
UGAGGAGGUGAUGGAGUCGGA